GUUAUUUAUCACAUCAUGGAAAAGUGGGACCUAUUUGAAUAAUACUAAACCAUUCAGACUCCAGAGAGAGCCCUGAAGAUCUGGGUGCGUCCUCCAGAGCCCUAGCCAAGGUAGGUGACCACACUGGCCUAAUAUGGCAAGGCUAGAGCCCUGCCUGGUUUGCAACAGACUUGGCUCAGUAGCUUGAGAAAGGGGCUGUGCUUUGAUUUGAAUCUAAUUCAGAUAUCAACUCUCACUAAUCUUUUCACCAGCACAGUCUUUUCUUGUGAUUUUAAUAUCACUUCCAAUGUCUCCCCACCCACCCCCAUCAGACACAGAGCAUUCCUCUUUCUUCUGUGAAGUUCACAUAAAGAAUGCAGAGCUAGAGCGGAUCAUGGCAACUAUGCAAUAAACAACUUGAAGAAUCAUUCCGUCAAGUGUGGGAACCAGAGUGGAAAGAUUGUCUUCAGCCUGCAGCCAACACCAGUCACCACCUAUCAGAGAAAUGCAUCCUGUGAGUACCACAUUCCAGCGUCUCUGGAAGACCUCCAUUUCCUCCCCAGGCUGGGAGAGGCUCAGGCACCUUGGCUCUCUUGGCAGAAAGGCAGCUCCUAGGUGGAACUUGGGCAGUGCCCUCUGCCCUCAUAGCUGUGUCUGCAGGCUGUACCUGUGGCAUCCUUGGCCAGCCCACUCACGCCAAGGCAGUGUGUGCCCCACCCCAACCCAGCCAAGCCAUCUGCAAGAAGCAAUAAUCUCCAUCCCUCUGCUAGUUGGACUGUAGUUCUCAUAGGACUGGCCACAGCUGACAUUCCAGAAGCUGAGGGAAGAAAGAGCCUUAGAAGAUAAGUAAACACGUAAGA
rnacentral:lncRNA from 1 species